GGAGCAACGUACUAGUAACCCGAAGUCGCGCCUUUCAUUUCGCCUGGGUACAAAAGGCGCAGCGCAGAUCGUCUGUGGAAAUCUACCUUACUUUUUGUUGCACUUUUCGUUGUUUACUUUUUGUUGUACUUUUUGUAGUACUUUUUGUAGUACUUUUGUUGUUGACCUUUUGUAGUACUUUUUGUUGUUGACUUUUUGUUGUUGACUUUUUGUUGUACUUUUUGUUGUAGACUUUUUCAAUGCCAUCGGACAUCUUCCUUAGCGCGUGUCUUGUACACGGUGGACGUAGAGUUUGUUCUUGUUCACAGCUGACGUGUUAGACAAAUUCAGAAUGUUGGUCUUACCAAGCUGCGCCGAGAAGCCUGGGUCUACACCAUUACCUGGUCCAGUGAUGACUGGAUAGUGUGGAAGCCAGGGUACACUGACUGGCGCAUGGCGCGUUCUCAAUAUGGUCCGAAUCCAGAGCAGCUCUUGAACUCUGCUAGCAGCUCGUCAGGGACAUAAUCAUUGCGUACAACAGCCAGUGGUCGAACUCGUGUGGAGCACAGCAGAAUCUGUUUUUGCCGGGGCAACAUUCCAUUCAUUGGUGUUGGAACAGACCGCUGCCCGCCAUGCGCUGUGAGCCGUGCAACACCCAGUUCGGUGCCCCCUCCAAAGCGUACGUGCGUAUUCGCUGACAUGGCUAGUCGCAGAGUGUGCUACUUGCCUGCUAGAGCUGCGAGCUCUUCUCACUCACAGGAAGACAGGGAUCAUGCAGAGACACAGAGACGAACAAAACCAUUGCCAAGGCCAAUGAUCGUGCUAGUAAUAUACAGGAUUGUACAGUUAGAUUGGGCCGUGUGACGAUCCUCGUCCAUUGACCCAGGCAACCAUGCAGGAUCUCAACUAACUGUUUCAGCGCGCGCAGAAUCUACCCACGUCUAGGCGUACAGUCAAUGUGUUGGUUCUUUACAAGUCCUCAUGAAAAAUACAACGUGCACCUUGUCAAGGAGAAGCGCUCUCACCGCCUGUCGAGCGUGUUGUCUUCACGCAGUCGCGCGCGUUUCAGACAAGUUCGACGGGGCGCCAACUUUGACGUAUGUCAUGAGACAGGUCUGGAAAGCCCGAUGACGGGACCAGUGUUCUUUGCCUUUGGCCAGUUUGGGCUUUUCAGGGAGUGCGACUAUUUCUACCGUGAGUAAUGAGUCAGCCUGAAUGACGUCAAGCUUGGUCAUGUCAAAUAAUUCACAACCAGCAAGAAAAGAGCCGGCAGACAGUGUCCAGUCCAAUGCCGGUCAGCAUAGAGCGACUGUCGCAUCUUCUCAUCUGAUCUAUGUGUUGGAAUAGAUCAGCACAAGCUCGCAAGUACAUGUAAGUAGCGUUCACUGCACAUACACGUUCACAUGUACAUCGUCAUUUACAGAGGCUGCAUCACCACUGCUGAUUCACCACGGACUCAGUAAUAAUUGUUAUAUUUGCCCUGAUUAUGUGUAAUGUCUCUACUGGAUCAUAGGUGUUUUUUCACCCUUUGGAGCCUAAAAUUGUCGAUCUCUGCACCACUGCCCUCAUAAACGCUGUAUUCUUUUUCAUAAUCAAGAUCUCGAAUAAUAUCUCAACUGUCCUUACACACACAAUAGAGGCGAAGGCUAUCACAUAUUCAACUAUUAUUGUUGUUCAUGAUCUUUCUCAUUUAUUCAUGUAACAUCUGAAUCCUGCAAGAAGGAAUCGAGUCGUCUCUCCGA